UGGGGAAUAUUGGACAAUGGGCGCAAGCCUGAUCCAGCCAUACCGCGUGGGUGAAGAAGGCCUUCGGGUUGUAAAGCCCUUUUGUUGGGAAAGAAAUCCAGCUGGUUAAUACCCGGUUGGGAUGACGGUACCCAAAGAAUAAGCACCGGCUAACUUCGUGCCAGCAGCCGCGGUAAUACGAAGGGUGCAAGCGUUACUCGGAAUUACUGGGCGUAAAGCGUGCGUAGGUGGUCGUUUAAGUCCGUCGUGAAAGCCCUGGGCUCAACCUGGGAACUGCAGUGGAUACUGGGCGACUAGAAUGUGGUAGAGGGUAGCGGAAUUCCUGGUGUAGCAGUGAAAUGCGUAGAGAUCAGGAGGAACAUCCAUGGCGAAGGCAGCUACCUGGACCAACAUUGACACUGAGGCACGAAAGCGUGGGGAGCAAACAGGAUUAGAUACCCUGGUAGUCCACGCCCUAAACGAUGCGAACUGGAUGUUGGGUGCAAUUUGGCACGCAGUAUCGAAGCUAACGCGUUAAGUUCGCCGCCUGGGGAGUACGGUAAGCAAGACUG
rnacentral:rRNA from 1 species